ACGCAUUAACCAAAGCCGUGGGGGGUCUGUGUUUACGCGUGAUUGGCUGAUUGCAUUACCAAAAGACACAAAAUUAAAACAAAAUAUAAUCUAUCGUUUUCUUUUCGUCACACAAGCACCCACUCACCCAGAACAAACCCAUAGCCUUUCCUUCCUUCAUCACUGACGCCAUCAGAGUCCACCACUGCUGCGCCUUCACUGCCAGAAUCAUCGCAACCAGUCAGUGGGUCUUUUACUUUCUUGGAUACUUUUUAUUUGUGGUGAAAAUUGUGGGUUUUUUUUUUUUAAGUUUCGAUUUAAAGUAGAAGAAUUCAAUCGGUUUUUGGAAUCGUUGGUGGGUUUAUUAGUAAUUAUUAUUUAUUUCUCUUUUAUGACUAGUUGGCUUUUUCAUUUUGUUAAUGGUAUUUCUCUUCUUGAUUUGAAGAAAUAGAUUUUUAGUUAAUAAGUGAGAUCUAAUUACAAAGAAUGAGAAAGAAUAAUUUACUUGUUUGUUUGUUUGAUUAGAUUAUUAGUAAACUUGAGUAACGGCAGUUAUAUGAUCAGGUGAUUUCGUGUACUUCAAAGGUUUAAAUUGAAUCGAAGUGGGAGUAGAGAGUAUGCUAUAUAGUAAGGAAUACAUAACUGAUAUUGUAGAGCAAGGAUCGAAAUUACUAGCUUAGUGAAUUGAAAUUACUUAAGGUCUACUUCUUCUUCAAUCAUUUUAUUUUGGCUCUAAAAUGAAUUAUUAUCUUGAAUAUUUUGGUAGUUAAUUUUUUUAAUAAAGAAGAAAUAACUUUUUUCAAGUGUUUAAGAAUGUAAUUUUUAGGCACCAAUCCUUUGGUGCUAUAAUUCCCCAUUUCUGAACAUUAUAUUUCUAUGAUUAAUUAUUAAUUUGUGGGUUAUAUAGUGACUUUGGUGGUACUUUUGACAAAUAAUUUGAUGUGGUUUAACAGGAUGGAUGUGGUAGUAUGGAAAUGGAGCAACCUUGCACUCAAGCUAUUAUGUUUUUUCUAGAAGAAAAAACAACAAAAAAUUGAUGGAAUGAGAUGAACGUUGAGGUUAGAAUGAGAUGAAUAUUGAAGUUAUCAAAAUAUCAUAGGAAAAAGAGGGAUAGGAAAGCUGUUUGGUUGGAAUUGCAUUUUAUUUUUUAUUUUUUUUAAGACACCACAUGUUUAACUAUUUAUUUAUAUUGAGAUGUUUAUUAAAGCUUUUUUUAUUUUAUUUGGCUGGAGCUUUAUUUUAGAUGAUACACAUUUGAGAAAUGUAGAGAAAACAAAUGUUAUAUUGUUUAAAAGUAUAGAAUUUAGUAGUUUUGCAAUGCAAAAUAAGAUUGAUAUAUUUUACAUAUUAUAUUAAAAAAAGUAGGAUAAUUAAGU
rnacentral:lncRNA from 1 species